CUCCUACGGGAGGCAGCAGUAGGGAAUUUUCCACAAUGGGCGAAAGCCUGAUGGAGCAACGCCGCGUGCAGGAUGAAUGUCUUCGGAUUGUAAACUGCUUUUAUAUUGUGAAGAUUAUGACGGUAGCAUAUGAAUAAGGAUCGGCUAACUCCGUGCCAGCAGCCGCGGUAAUAC
rnacentral:rRNA from 1 species